rnacentral:rRNA from 1 species
AGUGAACGCUGGCGGUAGGCCUAACACAUGCAAGUCGAACGGCAGCACAGGAGAGCUUGCUCUCUGGGUGGCGAGUGGCGGACGGGUGAGGAAUACAUCGGAAUCUACUCUGUCGUGGGGGAUAACGUAGGGGAACUUACGCUAAUACCGCAUACGACCUACGGGUGAAAGCAGGGGAUCUUCGGACCUUGCGCGAUUGACUGAGCCGAUGUCGGAUUAGCUAGUUGGCGGGGUAAAGGCCCACCACGGCGACGAUCUGUAGCUGGUCUGUGAGCAUGAUCAACCAAUCUGGAACGGAGACACGGACGAGACUCCGACGGGAGGCAGAAGUGGGGAAACUUGGACAAGGGGCGCAAGCGUGAUCCAGCCAUACCGAGUGGGUGAAGAAGGCCGUCGGGUUGUAAAGCCCUUUUGUUGGGAAAGAAAUCCAGCUGGCUAAUACCCGGUUGGGAUGACGGUACCCAAAGAAUAAGCACCGGCUAACUUCGUGCCAGCAGCCGCGGUAA